rnacentral:rRNA from 1 species
AUUGAACGCUGGCGGCAUGCCUUACACAUGCAAGUCGAACGGUAACAGGUCUUCGGAUGCUGACGAGUGGCGAGCGGGUGAGUAAUACAUCGGAACGUGCCUAGUAGUGGGGGAUAACUACUCGAAAGGGUGGCUAAUACCGCAUGAGAUCUACGGAUGAAAGCAGGGGAUCGCAAGACCUUGUGCUACUAGAGCGGCCGAUGGCAGAUUAGGUAGUUGGUGGGAUAAAAGCUUACCAAGCCGACGAUCUGUAGCUGGUCUGAGAGGACGAUCAGCCACACUGGGACUGAGACACGGCCCAGACUCCUACGGGAGGCAGCAGUGGGGAAUUUUGGACAAUGGGCGCAAGCCUGAUCCAGCAAUGCCGCGUGCAGGAUGAAGGCCUUCGGGUUGUAAACUGCUUUUGUACGGAACGAAAAGCCCUGGGUUAAUACCCUGGGGUCAUGACGGUACCGUAAGAAUAAGCACCGGCUAACUACGUGCCAGCCGCCGCGGUAAAAC